UACGAAGGGUGCAAACGUUGCUCGGAAUUAUUGGGCGUAAAGCGCACGUAGGCGGCUUUGCAAGUCCCAUGUGAAAUCCCACGGCUCAACCGUGGAAGUGCAUGGGAAACUGCAGAGCUUGAGUACUUAAGAGGAUCGCGGAAUUCCCGGUGUAGAGGUGAAAUUCGCAGAUAUCAGGAGGAACACCGGUGGCGAAGGCGGGUCUCUGGGCAACAACUGACGCUGAGGAGCGAAAGCGUGGGGAGCGAACAGG
rnacentral:rRNA from 1 species